UGUUCCAAAGAUGCCAACGCGAAAGAGACCUAAUUCAAAAUUUUCGUUUGUUAUACGGUCAAACUUGACAGAAGAACAAAAGAAAAAUUUGAAUUGAGUCUCGUUCGUGUCGCUAUGUGUAGCUGGAGGUAGGCGUUGAAAUUAUAGUGCCACUAUGACAUCCAUUGAAAGUAGCUCUAUAACUCAAUAAGUUAAAUCUUAAAAUUUGCCUUGUGUCUCGACCAAAUAUGUAGGUGUGGCGAUUGAUUUGAUUGGAAGUAGUAAGAUCGACCAAAUAUAUAUAUACGAUGUGAGGGUCGAUUGAAAGAUUUUUUUUUUUUUUUAAUAGAUAAGAGUGACACAUCAGUAUGUGAAUUUUAGAGUUGUGACUAAAGUUAAUGAAUUGGUAAGCGAGUAACAAAAUGGGUGUAGCAGAAGUAGGAAUCAUUUAGCUAGCCAUGUUACAAACUAUCGGAAAAUGGGAAUUUGAAUUUGAAAACUGAAAUUAUGAACUCAAAUAGCACUUCCGACGAACAAGUAGAAGUUUUAAUCUUAUUGGUGACCAAAGAAUAUUUAUGUUCAGAAAAGAAAAUAUUCCCAGGUCGUAGCUUCCCACAAUAAUUACUUUUGUAAUUCGUAAAUAUAGAGG